rnacentral:rRNA from 1 species
UACGAAGGGGGCGAGCGUUGUUCGGAUUUACUGGGCGUAAAGGGCGCGCAGGCGGCUUAUUUUGUCAGGCGUGAAAGCCCCGGGCUUAACCUGGGAACUGCGUUUGAUACGGAUGGGCUAGAGUUCGGGAGAGGAGAGUGGAAUUCCCAGUGUAGAGGUGAAAUUCGUAGAUAUUGGGAAGAACACCGGUGGCGAAGGCGGCUCUCGUGGACCGAUACUGACGCUGAGGCGCGAAAGCGUGGGGAGCAAACAGG